rnacentral:sRNA from 1 species
GACUUGCUAACCGUCUCUUUUCCCAGCUGGCUCUGGACAAGUCAGAUUCCCACCCCUCUGACGCUCUGACCAGGAAAAAAUCGGCCAAGGCGGUAGGUAGCCCCGAGGCCAGGUGGACCUUAGCCAGACCCAACCAGAGCCCUGAAAUUCGCCUCUCUCUGCCCAGGAAUCUAAGUCCUUUGCUGUGGGAAUGUUCAAAGGCCAGCUCACCACAGAUCAGGUGUUCCCAUACCCGUCCGUGCUCAACGAAGAGCAGACACAGUUUCUUAAAGAGCUGGUGGAGCCUGUGUCCCGUUUCUUCGAGGUAAGGAAUGACUCGGGGCUUGGUCCCUGGUGAGGUGUUUGGAGAUGUUAAGCUCAAAAGGAGCCUGGAUGUGGGAUCCUGUGCCUUCCCCAGGAAGUGAACGAUCCUGCCAAGAAUGACGCUCUGGAGAUGGUGGAGGAGACCACUUUGCAGGGCCUCAAGGAGCUGGGGGCCUUUGGUCUGCAAGUGCCCAGUGAGCUGGGUGGUGUGGGCCUUUGCAACACCCAGUACGCCCGUUUGGUGGAGAUCGUGGGCAUGCAUGACCUUGGCGUGGGCAUUACCCUGGGGGCCCAUCAGAGCAUCGGUUUCAAAGGCAUCCU